UUUCAACUCUGCUCUGUGAUUUAAGUUGUUUUGCAGUAAAUUCUUGUACCAUAGCUCUAUGUUGUGAUUGCUCUGUAUCAACAGCAGGGGGCACUGUCUGGCACAGUAUUGACCUGCCCACCUGAGUAAUACACUGUAAGAUUUUGCUGCUGGAGAAAUCAGAUAGUCAAUGCUCUUUGAUUGUCUACUUUAUUACAAGAAAGCCAAGUAGAAACACAUCUAAAAUCUUUUAAACGCUUUGCCAGUAAGGCAACUUUUAAACUAGAUAGAUGCCUCAGUGAGUGAGUAACAUUUUAAAUACCUUGUUCUCUGUAUUCACUCUAUAUGUAUUAACCCUGUAUUGACUGGUGUUGCUUUCAGAUGACAUGUUAGUUUAAUGAUCUUCUCUUUUUGCAGGAGAGAUUGAAUACGGCAGGAAGCUUCUCAAAAGGUAAUUUAUUGGGACACUUGCCCGACGCUCUUAGCAUACUAAUACUGGGUAUUAGGGUACCAUAUUAUUUACUACACCUUCUGAUGCUUUUAACAGGCUAAGCUUUUAUAAUGAAAACAAAACCUUUAAAAUCAACUCUAAUAUAUUGAAACACCAGAUUCUGGACUAGAGGGCAUUAUCUUCUUGUAGUUGACUGAAGGUAAGACUGUGCUGUACGGACCAUGUGAACUAAUAAGAUAAUGCCCUUUAGUCAGGGUUUUAGAAACUGUUAACCAGUGCUUUUAUUGCUGUUUUAAACAUGUACAUCUUUAAAUUACAGAUUUAAUUAGCUUUUCAAAGUGCUUUCCCUUUGUUUUUUAAGAUGUUCUAUGUGAAUGUUCCAUGACCAUCUCCCCUGAGCUAGUCCUUGCUAAUGAAAAUGUGCAAUCCUUUUCCCCUGGGUGCUCUGCAUCUCAUUUCUGUGUGUUUGUGUUGCACUCAGAUGAGUUGGGUGACUCGCUGGACAUGAAGAGCUUGCUGUUGCACUGUCUUAUGAUGUGUGAGUCAGAUAACGAAAAAAAAGAGAGAGCACAAAAUCCAAUGCAAUACAAUACGAUACCAUACCUGUACAGUAGAAAGAGGUAGUAGGUUUAAGGCUUUAGGGCGCUAGUGGUAUACCCCCUGACACAGACUGCUUUUAAACUACAGUGAAACCUGCUUUAACACCAGCGCAUGCACUGGCAUAGAGACACCACUCUAAGCAGAGUGCAGCUGCUGCUCACACAGGCUCUAACGCAGACAUGACUUGCAGUACACUUUAGUGAUCACGCACUGCACUUCACAGCGUGCAUGUUUGCUUGCCUCUCAGUGAAGGCGGGUUGGUUCAUUUGAAGCCCCAGAUACAACAGAGGAGUGGGAGCCCCACCUGCACUGCCUGUAAUCACCCCAGCCUUUGAAACCUGGCGCUCACUGUGGCUGCCUGCCCCUGGGCUCUGUUAGACAUGUAGAGCGUGCCGCUGUCAGGGUGGGGUGGGGCGUAGUAUAUAACAAGGCUUUACUGAAGCGUCUUCUUUUUCAAGGCUGCCCCCAAAUGCAUCAGACUCUGUUCCUAAAGGGAGCUUCAGUUCCUAUGCCAAUAAUCAAAAUGACAGAGGCUAAGAAAAAUCACUCCGCUCAGCACAGCAGGCUGGUUUGCAGAGACCCGGUCAAACUAUUUCAUGAGUUUUAGGAGGGUUGUAUUAGUGCUGAAAGUUCGUUUUUGUUCAGGGACACAUUGACAGCAUGUCAAAGGUAGCUGUGAUGCACGGAGCCUGUUCAUCGUGUUGUUCCUCCUCUCCUCUCCUCUCCCUCCAGGCGAUCGAGUCCCUCACUCAGACGGUUCUGAAGCUGGAGAAGGACCGGGAGCUGCAGCAGCACCGCAUACAGACACUAGAGGGUCAGGCCCCACGACUUCUAUUGAUCUCUUUCAUUGUGUUUGCUUAGCUCAAUUUAGAAAUACUCAAAGAAACGUAAUAAGUUCAACGACUGGCAGUCUUUCUCCAUGUCUUCAGUAUUGAAAUAAGAUGGAAAUGAGAUUCCUAUUGCAUAGCAUUUUCACCCAUUCUGGUUUUUAAUACGAGCUUGAUUAGCCCUGGUGUAUAGGUAAGAAGCUCAGGUGUGUCUUAUUAAACUCAUAGUGAAAUGGAAUGGAUCAAACUGCUAUGCAAUGGGAGUCUUAUUUGCAUCCCUGAUGCACUCCAGCCUCCCAGGUGGUAAAGCAUGGCGGAUCUCCUAAUGGUGUGGGGGCUGAUGUUGCAAUUUAUCAGUUAACCUUGCAGGAUGUGUGAGUGGCGCUAGUCACAGCGGAUCACGUAGGCACGGAAGAAACCAAACUCAAAAACGAAGAUAAGACUGUUGCACAUGCUCAGCUUCGCUGUGCUCUCCUGGGGUUGCAGAGGAGGUGCGCAGGUUGCGGACUCGCGGGGAGGAGGAGCAGCGCAGGAGUCCAGAGUGGCGGCUGGAGAGGAGAGUAGAGGAGUGGAAGAAGGAGGUGACCAGCGAGCUGUACAGCCUGAGAGCUCAGCUACAGAGAGAGGCAGAGAGAGCCGGCAGCCAGGGGCAGCAGGAGAUACAGGACAGCAAGAAGCUGCUGCGUGAGGAGUGCGAGACGCUGAGGAGAGAGGUUGAGCACAUUAAACUACAGCUGAGUAAGUGACCCUCCACCUGUAUCCGCUCACAUCCAGCCACAGAGGGCAGCUUCCUCAUCAGAACGCUGCUUUCAGAUUGCGCAGCUUAAUGCCCAGUACCUGUUGAGAACACUUUACAGAGCUGUUAAUUAGCAGCAUGGGGGGGACUGAUGGAAGGGGAGUCAUGCACUGCGGAUGGGUUUUAUAUCACUUUGGGAGCUGUACACACACACGCAUGCACGCACGCACACACACACACACACACAGCACCCUGAUCCAGAAUAGGUGCUCCCUUGUGCCUCAGAUGCGAAGAAGGUUUGAAUGAGAAAACAUUUAACAAGGCAACUGAAAAGAGGCUCCUUCCAGGUGUCAGACACUUCAUCCAUGCUUAUUUCAACAACAAGACCGUUUCCUUUUGAUGCUUAGUUUGGUUUGUCAGCCAUUAAUUUGCACCGUUAGUCACACUUUAACUGUUUAAUUGCUGAACAGCUUUCUUCUUUGAAGUUUUUUCUGCCAUUACCCUCAGGCUGCCUUUCUUUAUUAGUAUUUGUAUAGCCACAGGAGGUCCAAUAGACACUUUUCAAAGAGAGUGGGCUGGCAACUUUCACCCACGUUGCAGUCAAAUUAUUCAUCAAGAAUAAUGAGUAAACAUCAGUGUGAUUGCCUGGGGUGUGUAAUCUCAGCUGUGUUCCAGGUGCAGCAGUCUUUGAACCACCUGCACUGUUCACUGCAGGAGCAUGUCAUUCCUGAUCAUAGCUUUGUGCUGCAUGUUAGUGUCCAUGCUUCUUUUCAGAUUGCUGUUAACAAUGAAGGUUUGCUACUGUGCUGUAGUCCUGUGCACCAGGGCCCAGAUGGUUUUGAUAAUGUAAACAGCAUUGAAUAAAUACCUCCUCUCUUCAGCUCUGUAGUAACCCUACUGUUGUUUACUUACUGCAGGUCUGCGAUACAGCAGGGUUACAAGCUUAAGGUUCAGCACUACUAAGAUCCAACGAUCCAUCAAAAAUGCUCUACAGUUCUAACAAACAUUUUGACGAGGAGUCUUGAUCAAUGUAUUUCUGUAUGUUCUUGUGUGCUGUUUAGAUCAUAUAUUGCUAUAUACUGUGUAGACCAUAUGUCAUUAUAUAAGUUAGGGGGAUACAUCAAAGUCUUUUGCUCUCAGUGUUGCUCUCAGUCCGGUGAAAGGUGUUUCAGAGCUCUUUGAAUGUCCUGAGCUUUUGAACAAGAUUUCUGAAACCAGGGAGAUGAAACGAUCGCAGGAGAGGAACAGCAAGACCCUGGAAGGGCUGACAGAUGGGUAUCGGUCUCACUCCGUAGACCUGAAUAAAGUGCUCUCCAAUCACCACUACACUGAGCAGGAGUUCAAACACAUCAGAUCAUCAGUCAUGGAUCUGAAGGAAGAAGUGAGAAGCCUGAAGCGGAGUGUCGGCAGACUGGAUCAGAGCAGCACGCUGACAGCGAUAAAUAUUUAUUUUUGUGUUUAGUGUUUGUUUUUUUUGCCAAGGUGGCCAGUUACAUUAGCAGAACGCUGAGAGUGUUAUUUGAAGCGCUGCUCUGCUGUAGGGUAGAUUGGCUGGGAUUGAGAAUGCUGCUGCUACAGGACACCCAGGCUGUGGAAACAGUUGUUUGAUUCCAGUCUGAACAAACAUAGCGUUAGCAGGUCGGGACACAACAAAGCCAGACGGGAACGAGAUAAUUCAGUGCUAAAGAGGCUGCUCGUUUUGUGAUCAAACACAGCUGCCUCCCCGCAAUCCUGCACCAGGGCUGGGGAGGCUGCAAGGCUUCAGCAGGGGAUUAGACAGCUGUGUGCAGAUCAGCUCUGUGAGUGGGGAGGGGUGGGCAGCACUGCCAGCGUCAGUGGGGAAGGCAGCUGCUUCACUUUUCAUCUGAUUCCAGGUUGAGUGCAGUCGCAGUUCUGAUUCACAAGGGAGGAAUACCGGAGAUUCUGACCCUAGAAAAACGAAAAGAAACAUUUCGGCUGGAUGUCUUUCUCAAUGCCUUCAAUGAAAGACUGCCACUGAGUGUUAAAUGGUUUAGGGGUGAGAUAUUAAGCCUGAUCAUUUGAACAGAGGUGGGCCCUUCUCUCCAGUCUGUCUUGCAAUGAGAGAGAGAGAGAGCGGAAUCACUUCUGACGAAUAAGGAUUUUUAAAUUCCAAACCUUGACCAACACUGAACCGAUAAGUCUACAUUUUAUUUAUUUUUUUGUAGCAGUUUGAAAUGGCCAAUUUUGUGAGGGUUUGCAGUGAGGCAAGCUAUCCCCAGUGGAUUUGUCUCCCCAGUCAUGCAGGAAUGUAAAGGUCAAUGCAGCGCUCCCUGUGGGCCCCCCAGAGAAGAUCUUGAACUUGCUGUGAGUGGGAUUAAAACCGCGCUGGCAUGACUCGCACUGCGUUCCAAGCGCCAGUGCUUUCACUAGAUGCGCCCCUGAAAACCUAUAAAAUUAUGUCUUUCGUCAAAACGUAUACUGGCAUAUAUUUUUUGAUAAUUGCCUUGGAUUUUCAACUUGAUUAGGGCUGCAAUACUGUUUGCAGAUCAGUCAUUGAUCGGCUCACAGGACUGCCAAACCCACCUUUGAUGUGCGUCCAAACGCUGUCUGUGUAUGAACAGCUAGGCAGUGUGGGUGAGAGCUUGCCUUCAUUCCCCCAGGGGCCUUCUCAAAGCUUACUCAGCUCUGCAAUUAGAGCAAUCACUAGAUGACUGCCUGUGCUAACUAGUGGCAGUAAGUGGGUUAUGGCUUCCCCUUUUUUCCCUUCUUUUUUUAAUGAAACCUUGACAGUGAACCAUUGUGUAGAGUGGACAUGAACACUUAGUGUUGGGUUCUUUAAACGACAGCUCCAUCAUUUUCUAUAAACUUUGCAGAUCCUGUAUAUAUUGAAAUUAGUGUUGGGUUUUUAUUAGAAGUCCUACAUGGUAUUUUAUUUUAUAUUUUACAUUAAAACAGUUGGAAGAUUAAAUUGUCUAAGUGAAGUCUUUAAUUAUGAAAACAUGUUAAUGUUGCUUGUGAAGACUUUUUUUUAUUAGAAUAUGUUUUGUUAUCCUUUUGUGAAGCUAGACACACAUAUACAUAUAGGAGGCUGUGUGGUCCAGUGGUUAAAGAAAAGGGCUUGUAACCAGGAGGUCCCCGGUUCUAAUCCCACCUCAGCCAUUGACUCAUUGUGUGACCCUGAGCAAGCCACUUAACCUCCUUGUGCUCCGUCUUUCGGGUGAGACGUAAUUGUAAGUGAUUCUGCAGCUGAUGCAUAGUUCACACACCCUAGUCUCUGUAAGUCACCUUGGAUAAAGGCGUCUGCUAAAUAAACACAUAAUAUACAGUGUUUGAAGGUUUUCCUGAGUUUUAAGAACACACAAUUAUAAAAAUGAAUGUUUUAUUGGCUCUUCGUGGAGGUUUACUGCUUACCCCAGCGCUGCCCCAGGCUUGUUAAGCUGUGCGUUUCCUGCCUGUAAAACUCCUGUGCCAAUUCAAACAGACAGCUAGCUUUCUUUAUUCUCUUCUGUGAGAAAUUCAGACUGGUGAUGCAACAGCUGCUCUAAAACACUGACAUCGCCUGACGGUUCUUUGACAAAUAUUAGAAAAAUCGAUCCAGCACUACUUGAAAUGUAGCAUGUAAUAAUGUUAGUUAAAUAUUUUUUUUUAAUAGUUGCCUAAAAUUCCUGUUGGAUUUUAUUCUAGAGUCCAAGUAUGCCACCGGACUAAACUCUGAGCUGGAAGGAAGUGACAUUGGUGAAACAGGAAGUGACCUGGAAGAUGACAGUGAUGUUGCCAGCUUUGCUGCCCACCCGGACGAGUUAUCAGACAGCCCCUGUGAACUUAAUCUGUGACCUUUAGCCUCCCAUUGACAUGACUUGAGUCUCAGAGGACAAUGUGGAGCGGCUUCACAACUCCAUGCAGCAGGACUGAUGUUCCAGCUCGAAGGAUCUGUUUAUUCUGACUGGGGGGUCUGUGUAGGUGCUUGUGAGGGAGGUGGUCCAGGCACCGCAUCUCAUGACUGCUCACAUCCUGUCUCUGUGCUCACAGAGAGCUGGGGUGGGGGAUGGCACAGCCUUAUUUUGGGGUAUUUUCACAGCAAAACAUAGGAUAGAGAUUAAAGGCAGCUUUCACACACACUGAGACACUUCAGAAACAGUUCCUGGAAUAGAUAGUCCAUUGUGUCCCUUGUCAUGCGGCUUUUUAUUUGAGCUGCUGGCAUGUUCUGUUCUGUUUUAGUUUUUUUGCUUUUUUUUCCUGCAAGCAGCUACCCAAUGAAAAACUAAAAUAAAAACAGAAGCACAGCCAUGUGGUGUUUGCUUGCUUUAUUUUUUAUGCUUCACCCCCCUUCCU